CUUUGAGAUGUGUCCCCCUAUGGGUUAUCCACUUCAGGUAUACAUGUGCCUCUUGAGCCUUUGAUGGGAGAUUUUUCAUUAGCAGUGUCCAUUCAGCCUGUGCAUGCGCUCUAUAUAACCUUAUGCCAUGCUGCAACAGUAUAUAGUGCUGCACAGGCGAACUGCCCUCAGUUCCUUCUCUAUCCGAAUGUCCAUCAAAAACAGUCUGAAGCAGAGGAGAUAGUGAAGCACCCGGCAGGGGACACAUCUCAAAGAGCCACAGUUACUACACAAGGCGAGUAACCUUUUCUUCUUCUUGAGUAGCAUCCCUAUGGGUGCUCCACUUCAGGUGAUUCCUGAACAGUAUACUCACAAGGAGGAAGCUUCAGAAUCAAGUCGAAGACUGAAGACAGUACAGCAGAACCAAGUGCUGCAUCAGAUCUACAGCAUGGACCGAGGCAUAGUGUUUAGAAAAAGUACCCACUGAAGUCAUAUAGCAGCUCUGGAUAUCUCACACACUGGAAUGUUUUUGAAUAAAGCUGAAGAAGUUGCUUGCGAUCUGGUAAAGUGUGCUAUAAUCCUCUGGGGAGACAAACCACUGGCAGCACCACAGCAAGAAAUAAUACACUCAGAGAUCCAUCUCAACAGUCUCUGUGAAGAGAUCAUGGACCCCUCUGAUCCAUCUACAAUGGAGACAGAAUCUAGGUGAUAUCAAAAAUUGUUUGGUCUUGUCCAGUUAAAAGGCCAAUGCCCAUCGUACAUCAACAUAUGAAGGGAAGUCUCCCACUGAGAUUUAUGUGGUUUAGGAAAAAAUAUCGGUAGAUGAAUAGACUAAGAUGUAAAUUUGACAGCAACCUAGAUAAGAACUCUGGGUGCAGUCAUAGGGAGACCUUGUCCUUGAAAAAUACAGUAAGUGGGAGAUCUGCGAUCAAGACUACAAUUUCUCCAAUCCUGUGGGCUGGUGUGAUAACUACUAGAAAGGAUGUCUUAACAGAUAAGUGAGGCAAGCAGCAAGCUGCCACAGGUUCAAACGGAGGUCUGAUACGGUAUCCAAGUACCAGAUUGAGAUCCCAUGUCAGAGUAGGAUCCUUAACCUGGGAAUAAAGAUUCCCCAGACCCUUAAUAAACCUCAAGAACAGAGGGGGAGAAAAAAUAAAAAAAACCUCUAGUGGGGAAUGAAAUGCUGGUAUUGUGGCGAGAUUAACCGAGAUAAUUGAUAAAACCAAAUUUUUAAAUCCGCCAGAUAAUUCAAGUUGGCUGAGAACAAAGAAGAUUCAAGCACAAGGUAGUGACAGUGACACUAGUGGUUGAACAUUUUCCAAAUCUGAAGGCAAGUAAUAUGAGUUGACUCCCUUCUACUGUUUAGUAAUACUUGUUGUAAUGCUGUUGAGCAGGUGGAUUCUAAUCCUGUGAGCCAUCUAGGAGCCAUGCUUGGAGACAGAGGACCUCUAGGUUGGGGUGAAGCAUGACUCACAUCCUGGGAAAGAAGAUGAAGAAUGGUCAGAAGCUUGAGCACCAGUUGGACACAGAGAUGAAGCAGGCAUCUGAGAAGGAGACAUUGGCUCAUCCCUUCUCCCAUCAUUCCUGCCCAUCGGAAGACAGAUGCCAGAAUGAAGAUGGAUAACUGGGGUCUCUUAAUAGAUAUGACCCAAGAGUUCAGGGUGGAAUGUCAGCUCACCAGGCCACUAAUGGAGAGGAACUGAUCAGAGGACCAUAGACUGUUUUUUAGCUAUGUCACAGUGUCUGAGAAGGCGUUUUGAACUCUUGAAGAGGAACAACUUCAGGGCAUCACUGAGUCACGUCAUCACAGUUUCUCAUCUUUCAUUCAGAUUUGUGAAAGGUAGUCUCCCUAACUCAAAGGGCAGCCGAUCUCUGUGGUUGCUGCUCUGAAAAAGGUCUCCAAAUUCUGAACGCAAGAUUCAAGGGAAAGAACCUCUUCAGAAACUGGGAACCAGGCCAUUCACAAAAUAUAUUUAGUUGGUGGUAGCAACAAAAAGGUGAGGAAGGAGCAAAGAAAUUUCUAAAGGGCUGUCUUACAGCAUCCUUAUUCUCCUAUCCAUCUGGGUUCUUCUAUAGCACCCAUCAGUGAAGCAUCUGAGUGCCUUUUAGCCAGCACCAGGUACCUGCACUGAAUCUCCAGACAGUAAGUAAGCAGAGAAUCCACCACAGACGCUUCUGCUAUUUCUUGAUUAUAUGACUGCAAGGAUCCCAACAGUAGCACAUAAAGGAUCAAACACAACUCAAUCACCAUUCUGCCCCUCUUACAAGUCUGGCUUGGAAGUCUGAAAGGCAGGAGUUUGGGUUUUUCUGAAGCAAGGCAAGAAGAAAACAGUAAUUUUCCAAAAAUAAAUUGGUAGGAUCUACAUUUUCUGGCAGCAAAAUGCCAAAGGGCCACAAUGUCACAUCACAUUCUUGACAGGACAAUAAUUUAUGGACUAAUUUUGAUGUUUGAUAGCCUCAAAGUUACAAAUAUCAUAGCUGUGAGCAAAACUGCAGGACUUUCAGUGCCAAACACACAGCUUCUAACCUAGCAAGCUAGAAGACAACUUUCCUUAGCUGAGAGCAGCAUUAAGAUUUUUGUGCAUUGUCUAGACAAAGGACUACAGAACAAGAUAAUCACUAAUGCUGGAACAGGACUAGUUCUAAUCUGAAUGGGUUUUGUUUGAAUAAAUGCUAUCACCUGUGGGAAGGUGACUGCAUGUGCAGAAACAGAGCCCAGUUUGAAGCCCCUUUGGUAUGAACCAGUUCUGGUGGAUCACACACAGACAAAUAAGGUAAAAAUAAAUAUUUACUUCCAAAUUCUUGGUUUACAUACUGUAAGUUAUUUUCAGCUCCCUUUAAUUAACUGGCCUCUCCCAAUAGGAGAUG